ensembl:lncRNA
UUAUGUCGACACCAUACCAGACUGAUAUAUAUAUAUAUGAUUGAUUGAGUGAGUGAGUGAGGGAGUGAGUGAGUGAGCUUGUCUCCACCUGCUGGGCGGCAGGAGUGUUUAGGGUGGAGGAUGUAGUUGCAAGUUGAGGUGGUGCAGGACAAGCAGAGCAGCAGGUUUGUGAGUGUUUUUGACGUCAAUUAAAAAGAUAAAUAAGGACUGAUGAGGCUGCUGUGUGAUGUAGAGACAGGUAUAAGGGUGUGUAUAAAGAUUGGGUCUCGCUGUAUUGCUCAGGCUGCGCUACAGCAUCUAUUCACAGGCGCGAUCCCACUACUGAGCGACACGGGGGGCUUUGACCUGCUCCGUCUCCGACCUGGGCGACACGGGGGCUUUGACCUGCUCCGUCUCCGACCUGGGCCGGUGCACCCCUCCUUAGACGACCUGGUGGUCCCGGGCUCCCCCAGGAUCACCAUAUCAAUGCCGAACUUAGUGCGGACACCCGAUCGACAUAGCCUGCUGCAGCUCAGAGCUCCUGAGCUCAAACGAUCCUCCAACCUCAGCCUCCCGGUAGCUUGGAUUACAGGCACGCGCCACCGCACCCGGCGAGAAGCAGCUACGUUCACAGAAAGUUUUACUUUCAUUCAUGUGCGCUCAUCAGGUUAGUGCCCAUCAUCAACCAAGAUGAAAUGAUGUAAAAAAAAAACAAAAAAAAAACAAAAAAACAACAACAACUAAUCAUUUCAAAAUGAGGAAGUCAGCACAGUAAUAACAGGUUGUUGGUUUUUUGUUGUUUUUUUUGUUUUGUUUUUUACCAAGCAAAAACAUGACAUAGCCUUUUUAAUAAGCCGAAGGACAGCGUAUGUGUGUGUGUGUUUGUAUAUUAUUGUUUUGUGUGUACACUGUCAGAAAUACAAUAAAAAUAUUGAAGGAUUUUUACUCAGUGUUUACAAUUUUCGCAAGUGUCUGAUUGAAUUGAUGACAGCCUCUCAUAUUUUCAUGCCAUGACAUUGGAUGGGACCAAUCCUUAUUUUGGGAUAAUUGGAGUAAAUAACAAAGAUUGUUUCAACUUGCUGAAAGUUUUGACUUCACAAAAUCAGGUUUUUAGCACAUCAGUGUCAAUGUGAGCACAUUCAAAGAUGCACACAUUUAGUUGUGCAGCAGUAAUCAGCUUCCUGUAGUGAAUUUUAUUAGAAUUAUGUAGAAUUUUGUUACAGUGUACAUCAUUGGAAAAUCCAGUAAAGUUCAGGGAUGAACGGUGCACAACUGUCAUAAGCAAGUUCUGAGAAACCUCGUGGUUAAACCAAAUUUCAAGUGUAUGUGAUCACAAUAUCAAGAAGAGCAAAGCUUCAAUGUCAGAAGUGGGAUUCGAACCCACGCCUCCAGAGGAGACUGCGACCUGAACGCAGCGCCUUAGACCGCUCGGCCAUCCUGACGUAAACAAGGCAGCCUUGUGGAAGUUACAAACUGAGAUACUUGGGAAUACACAAACGUUAUAGUCCACAUAACACAUAUAGCAGCUGUUGAGCCAUGGAAACACAUACUGGUGGCGCCCACUUUCUGUGCUGACUUUGAAGUCAGCUGUGCAGUUAGUGAGUCAGGGGAGUGUUUGUGACUUUUACGCACAAGCGCACCUCAGCACUCAGACACCCCACUCUGUAACUUUGCGUGGUGUACAACUGAAUUUCAGACAGCUCUUUAGUACCACAUAGUGAUUGACAAGUGUUUGUAAAGGGAGCGGUCA